GCCUACGGGAGGCAGCAGUAGGGAAUAUUGCUCAAUGGGGGAAACCCUGAAGCAGCAACGCCGCGUGGAGGAUGAAGGUUUUCUGAUUGUAAACUCCUUUUGUUAGAGAAGAUAAUGACGGUAUCUAACGAAUAAGCACAGGCUAACUCCGUGCCAGCAGCCGCGGUAAUACGGAGGGUGCAAGCGUUACUCGGAAUCACUGGGCGUAAAGAGCGCGUAGGCGGGAUAGAAAGUCAGAUGUGAAAUCCUAUGGCUUAACCAUAGAACUGCAUUUGAAACUGUUAUUCUAGAGUAUGGGAGAGGUA
rnacentral:rRNA from 1 species